UCAACAUCACAAGACUAAGAAAAAUCCCAAAAUCCGGAAACUCACAGGCAACACAGGCAAUAGAAAUGAAUAACAAAGUUCUCUAGUCUCCAGAAGCGUCUACAUCAAAGAACGAAAGGAAGCAAAAAAGAAACGAAGAUAAACACUACAAGACAUAAUAAAAGCGAUAAUCUUCGGUCUGCGGACGUGGCAGAUAUACGUUAAAGUCUCUGUAGCUCUCCCUGAUCACUGAUAAUGCGCCUGAGAGGAGAUACCUGGAUAUGCACAUGAAAAACAUGCGCAAAAGAGGCGUGAGUACGCAACAACGGUACACAGUAGGUGACAAGCCUAACCUCGGUUGGGUAGUGACGAGGAAGGUCAGGGCCCUACUGAGAUAAAACGUAAUAAUAAGAAUGUACAAUAUGAAAACAAAUAGAAUAAUAGAAAGAACAGUGAAAUAAAUCAGAAAAUACAAGUCAACAACAAAUAAACGAAGUAAGGAAUAAACACGGAAAUGCAAAGCUCAAUACCAAAGAUACCAUGAGGAUCCCCAAGAUACCGUCAUGUAGCCCUUUCUCACUGUCCAGGAGAUCACCUGGGAUAGCGUCCUACAGUCCAUCAUAUAUGUAUAUCCAAAGUAUCUCCGGGGAUACCGUCCCAUAGUCGAACUAUCAAUGUGCAGGGGGAUCUAUCGGAAAUCUAAACCGCAGUCCCAAAGUAAAUGUGCAGGGAGAUCUACCGGAAAUAGAACCCACAGUCCCAAAGUAAACAAACGAGGGAGGAGCUACCGGAAUCCCACAUCCUUAGUCCCAAUAUAAAUAAACACCAACAACAAGAGAAUAAUUAGAAACAGAGUUAAACACCAAGGCAAUAGUGAAUCUAGCCUAACAUGCUUCACGUAAUGCAGCAAGGCAACUUUAAGCAACGAAACCAAUUAAGUCAACUAAACGUGCUUUUCUACGCUAUCAGAGGCUAUAUUGCAAGUAAACAAAGCAAGUAAGAAAGGAAUAGCGACUUGUUCAUGUUAAGUAAUAAUCGGAUGUUCGACUAUUAGCACAAGUACGUGCUCGUCACCUCACGUACAAGGCACUCAAUCAUCUAUAUCAAGUCCUAAGGGGAGAAGGUCCCCUACACAAAGUUAGAUGAGCCACUUACCUCGAACCGGCUCAAACUCAACUACGAACCACGCCUUUGCCACGAGUAUCCGACUCCAAACGACCCAAAUCUAUCCAAUUCAAUUACAUAUCGUAAAUAACAUUGCAAGCAACUGAUUCCACUUUUAAAUUUAAAGCUGAGGAGUGAAAAUAGUAAAAUGACCAAAAUGCCCCUCGAGACAACGUCUCGAAAUCGGUUAAUUUUAACAUUUUCAGAACCCACAUACUCUCACAAGUCUAACCAUAUAAAACUCUAACAAAUGGGAGGUCAAAUGCGCACAAAAAACUUAAUAGUUUGGUCGAGAAAGUUUCCCCCAAUAUGCGAAAGCGAUACUGGUCAUGCGAUUGCAGAAGAGAGAUAGGGGCAGGCUUAUGCGAUCACGGGAAAUACAAUGCGAUCGUAUAGAGGAACUUGGUCCUUAAGCCACCGGCAUAGUUUAUUCAAUGCGACCGCAGGGAAUGCAAUGCUAACGCGGAGAAGAAAAAGGAAAAACUAUGUGAUCCCGAUUUGGGAUAUGCGAUCACAUAGAAGGAUUAGGCCCCCUCUGAAAUUGCACUACACGAUCAUAUGGAUGGGUAUGCGAUCGCAAUGAAGAAAGAGGUCUACAACUACUGAAGAGAGAAUCUUCAACUAUCACAACACAAAAAUGCCUCGUUGAACAUCCGAAACACACCAAGGCCCCCAAGACCUUAACCAAACCUAAAGACAUAUCCCAUGACAUCAUUCAAACUUGUAGUAAUCCUCAAACGACAUAAAACAUUGCCGAAAACACAAAUUAAUCUAGGAUUUGAGCCUAAGACUUCAAAUUUCAUCAAAAAACUUCGAUCAAAGACCUAACCAAAACACGUCCGAAUGACCUGAAAUUUUGCACACACAUCCUAAUUGACAUGGCGGAGCUACUGAAAUUUCCGGAAUUCCAAUCCAACCCUUGGAUCAAUAACUCUCUAUCAAACCGAAAACAUCAAAAUUUCAAACUUUGGCAUUUCAAGCUUAAAUGAGCUACGAACAUCCAAAAUACAUUUCGAACAUGCUCCCAACCCCGAAAUCCCCUAAGGGAAGAAGGGGUUAUCCAUUCUCAGGUCAUAAUCACACUAUUAUGGAUACGGCACACUUUCCAAUGGGUAAGCUCUCAUUUAGGGACUAAGUGUCCCGAUACUCUCCGAAACCCAACACCGAACGUUCCGACAAACCAAAAUUGUAGAAGUAAACUUAGGGAAAACAGUUAAUGGGGGAUCAGGGCAUAAUUUCCAAAAAUGACCGGCCAGGUCGUUACAUCGUCCUACACUUAAACAUUUGUGCAUCCUCUAACGAGAAUAGAGAAUAUAGCUGAAGUAGUGAAAAGAUGAGGGUACCGGCUACGCAUAUCCUGUUCGGUCUCCCAAGUCACCUUCUCAGCCGGUUGACCCCGCCACUGAAACUUUACUGAAGCAAUGUUCUUUGACCUAAUCUUUCUGACAUGCCUGUCCAAUACAGACAUUGCCUCCACAAUAUAAGACAGAUCCUUGUCCAGCUGGACUGAAGUGAAAUCCAACACGUGCGACGGAUUACCGUGAUACCUCCGGAGCACCGAAACAUGAAAUACCGGAUGUACCCCCGCCAAACUGGGAGGUAAGCAAGCUCAUAAGCAACCUCCCCAACUCGCCUCAAAAUCUCAAAAGGGCCAAUAAAUCUCGGACACAACUUCCCAAAUAUCAUAACACCUUUCAUAGGCGUAACCUGAAGCAGAACCCGCUCACAAACCAUAUAGGAAACAUCACGAAUCUUCUGGUCCGCGUAACCGGUAUGUCUGGACUCGGGUGUACCGAAUAGUCUCGCCUCACCCAGCUCCAACCAAUCCACCGGAGAUCUGCACCUCCUACCAUAUAAAGCCUCAUACGAUGCCAUCUGAAUAUUGGACUUAUAAUUGUUGGUGUAAGCAAACUCCGCCAAUGGUAAGAACUGAUCCCAAGACCCUCCAAACUCAAUCACACACACACAGAGCAUAUCCAAAAGAAUCUGAAUAGUGUGCUCGGACUGUCCGUCUGUCUGGGGGAGAAAUGUUAUGCUCAUCAUCACCUGAGUACCCAACUCUUGCUGAACGGCUCUGCAGAACUGUGAUGUGAACUGAGUACCCUGUUUGAAAUAAUAGAAACUGGAAUGCCACGGAAACGAACAAUCUCCCUGAUAUAAAUCUCUUCCAACCGCUCCAAUGAAUAAGUGGUACACACAUGAAUGAAGUGCGCGGACUUGGUCAGGCCAUCUAAAACAACCCAACUGGCAUUGAAUUUCUGUGCAGUCUGAGGGAGUCCAACUACAAAAUCCAUGGUGAUCCUCUCCCAUUUCCACUCCCGAAUCUCCAUCUAGUGAAGUAACCCACCCGAUCUAUGGUGCUCGGGCUUCACCUGCUAGCAGUUGAGGCAUCUAGCUACAAAUCCCGCUAUGUCCUUCUUGAUCUGCCUCCACCAAAUUGUAUUGUGUCAAGUCCUGACAAAUCUUCGCGGCAUCCGGAUGGAUGGAAUACUAUGAACUAUGAGCCUCUGUCAAUAUCAUCUCCCGAAUAUUAUCAACAUUAGGUACACAAAUCCGACCAUGCAUCCUCAAUACCCCGUCAUCACCAAUGGUCACAUCCCUUGCAUCGCCAAGCUGAACCGUGUCCCUGAGGACAAGUAAAUGAGGGUCAUCAUACUGCCACUCCCUGAUACAAUCGAACAAUGAAGACCGAGAAACCACACAGGCUAGAACCCGAUUGGGAUGUGUAAGAUCCAAUCACGCAAACUAGCUGGCUAAGGCCUGAACAUCCAUCGCCAUAGGCCUCUCUAAAGCUGGUAAAUAUGCCAAACUCCGCAAACUCUCCGUCCGGGAAAUCAAGGUAUCGGCAACAACAUUGGCCUUUCCCGAUUGAUAAAGAAUAGUAAUACCAUAAUCCUUCAGCAACUCCAACCACCUUCUCUUGCGCAAGUGUAGAUCCUUUUGCUUGAACAAGUGUUGCAAACUCCGAUGGUCAGUGUAAAUCUCACAAGGCACAACAUACAAAGAAUGACACUAGAUAUUCAAGGCAUGAACUACAGCACCUAACUCAAGGUUGUGGAUAGGGUAAUUCUUCUCACGUAUCUUCAAGUGUCUGGACAAGUAGGCAAUCACCCUACCGUCCUGCAUCAACACCGCUCCAAGGCCAACCCGUGAGGCAUAAAAAAAACUAUAUAAGAUCCUAAACCAGUAGGCAAUAUCAAAAUAGGGGCUGUAGUCAAAGCCGUCUUGAGCUUCCGAAAGCUCGUUGCACACUCCUCUGUCCACUUAAAUGGAGAACCCUUCUAGGUCAAUCUAGCCAUAAGAGCCGCAAUCGGCGAAUACCCCUCCAUAAAAUGACAGCAAUAACCCGCCAUGCCAAGGAAGCUACGAAUCUUUGUAGCUGAGGAGGGCCAAGGCCAACUCUGCACAGCGUCCCCUUCUUCGGAUCCACCCGAACGCCCUCACUCGAUACCACGUGGCCUAAGUGCCAUAGAACUCAACCAAAACUCACAUAUUGAGAACUUUGCAAAUAACUUCUUCACUCUCAGGCUCUGAAGCACUGCCCUCAGGUGCUGCUCAUGAUCUUCCUAACUACUGGAGUAUACAAGAAUAUUGUCUAUGAAAACAAUGACGAACGAGUCGAGAUAGGGCCUGAAUACACUGUGCAUCAAAAAUAUAAAAGUUGUUGGGGCAUUGGUCAGCCCAAAUGACAUAACAAGGAACUCAUAGUGACCAUACCCAGUCCUGAAGGCAGUCUUCGGGAAAUUCGACUCCCGAAUCUUUAGCUAGUGAUAACUUGAGCGCAAAUCAAUCUUAUAAAACACAUGUAUGCCUUGAAGAUGGCCAAAUUGAUCAUCAAUACGAGGCAAAAGGAUAACAGUUCUUCACUGUAACAUUGUUCAGCUAAUGCUAAUUGAUACACGUGCAUAUAGAACCAUCAUUUUUCUUCACAAACAAGAACACCCCAUGAUGAAACGCUUGGUCGAAUAAAACCCUUAUCAAGCAAUUCCUGUAACUGAUCCUUCAACUUCUUCAACUCAGGAAGAGCCAUACGGUACGGAGGAAUGGAAAUGGGAUGAGUGCCCGGCAACAAGUCAAUGCAAAAAUUAAUGUCUCUAUGAGGUGGCACACCCAGAAGAUCACCUUGAAACACAUCAAGAUAAUCCCGUACCACUGAGACAUAAUCAACAGAAGAGGUAUCAAUACAAACAUCUCCCACAUAAGCUAAAUACGCGGCGCACCCCUUCACAACCAUACAUUGAGCUUUAAGAAAGAAAUAACUCUACUGGGAGUAUGAUCUAAAGUAACACUCCACUCUAUACACGGAAUACCUGGCAUAGCCAGCGUCACAAUCUUGGCGUGACAAUCAAGAAUAGCUUGAUGGGGCAACAACCAGUCCAUUCCCAAAAUAAUAUCAAAGUCAACCAUACCGAAUAAUAAUAAAUCCGCUCUGGUCUUAACACCGCGAAUAGUAACCAAGCACGACCGAUAAAUGUUGUCUACAACAAGAGAAUCCCCAAAGGAGUAGAAACAUAAAUAUGAGAACUUAUGUAAUCUCGGGCUACACCCAAAUGCGGGGCAAAGUAAGAAGACACAUAAGAGUAAGUAGAGCCUUGAUCGAAUAGACCUGAUGCCUCUUUUUGACUAACUAGUGAAAUACCUGUAAUGCCAAAAUUGGAGGCAACAACCUCGGUGCGAGCAUGAAUAGCAUAAUAUCUGGCCUGACCUCUCUCUCAAGAAUGACCUCUACCUUCCUGACCUCCACCCCUAGCUGGGUGGGUAGAUGGGGUAGCAGCAGAAGCUGUAAUCAUGUCAUGAGAACUCUAUGGAGCACGCUGUAGCUAAGCAGUCUGUAAACAUGCGUCCCUACAAAGUCUAGGGCAGUCCCGAACCAUAUGGCGUGUAUCACCACACUUGAAGCAAGCUCUAGGAGGACGUGGUGGCUGUGACUGGCUGGGGCCAGAUCUGCUAGACUGAUCUCUGAAAGCACACCGUGCAGGAAGCACGCUAGAAACUUGAGGUGCAUAGUAAGGCUCCUAAGGUCUAGGAGGAGCUCGAGCACUGCUGGCCGCUGGAAGAGCUUAAUGAACGGGUAGACCCAUAUAAACCCUAUCAUGUCGACCUGCUAUUGGGGUGUGGGCACUGAGUAGUGGCCGACUCUCGAGACCUCUAGGCCUCUCUCUCCUCUCGCUCCCUAGCGAGCAUACCCUCGAUCCUCCUAGCAAUGCUCACUACAUGCUGAUAAGGAAUUUGCAUCUAUAACUCUCGAGCAGUGAUUGAUCUGAUGGGUGGAAUAAGGCCCUCAAUGAACCGACGAACCCUCUCACGGACAAUGGCAACUAAGGCUGGUGCAUGCCUAGCCAAUCUGGUGUAACCGAUGGAAUUCUCUUAAACUGUAAUAGCACCCUGGUGCAAAUACUCAAAAUCUAUGCGCUAUGCAUCCUAAGGCUCUAGGGAACAAACUCUCUCAGAAACAUAUCUGAAAACUGGGUCCAACUCAAUAAAGCAGCCUCGCCCAGACUAUCUAUCUCAUAAGUGCACCACCAAUCAUAGGCGGCUCCCUGAAGUUGAAAGGCAAUAAAGGAAACCCCGCUGGACUCUACUAUACCAAUAGUGCAAAGAAUACGGUGGGAGUCCCUUAGAAAUUCUAAGGCAUCCUCCGAUGCUAAACUGCUGAACACAUGAGGCGUAUAUUUAUUAGACCUUCCAAGCCUCAGAUGCUCAACCUCUAAUGUAGCUGACCCAUCCUCGGGCAGAAGUGGCACUGCAGGCGGUACAAGAAUGAUCUCUAGGACAUGCUCCAUAUGCACUCUCUGUGUAGGAGUGCGGGUUGCGUGAUUCUGGGCCCCUCCCCCGCCCUGGGAGGUUGUUGCAGCGAGGCAAAGCAACCCCGCCUAAGCCGAGGUGGUGUACAUAGACUUGAACAUAGCUAAUGUCUCCUGAAGGACUGGAGUAGUAUUUGUAGCUGUAGGUGUGUCUGGUGCCUGAAGUUCAGCUGGAUCUGUUGGCGAUACCUCAACGAUAGCUCACGCAAGUGCUCUGGCUGCACUAUGUGUGCGUCAAUCACCUAUUCCCCGGCCCCUGCCUAUGACGGCUGCAGUAGGGGCACGGGUGCUUGAUCGUCCCGAGUAGCACGUGUCCUCACCAUCCGUGAGAGAAUAGAAUACAUAAGCUUAUAAUUGAUGUCAAAUAAUAGCAGGACAAGGAAUUAAAUGAAGUGAAGAUUUUUCCUAAACAGUUACACAGACUCCAGUAGAUAAGUACAGACAUCUCAGUACGGACCAGCGAGACUCUAAUAAACCGACAUGUGUCUGUGACUCCUAUGAGCCUAGAGCUCUGACACCAACUUGUCACGACCCUAGUUCACCGUCUGUGAACAUGCCAUAACAGCACCUAGUCACUACGACUAGGUAAGCCUGACAAUGCGAAAACAUAUCAUUUUGCGGAAAUAAAUAAUUAAAACUGGAUAACUUAAGGAAAACUAUAUAUAUGUAUCGCUUGGCAUAUACAACUCAACAUCACAAGACUAAGAAAAAUCCCAAAACCCAAAAACUCACGGGCAACACAGGAUAUAGAAAUGUAUAACAUAGUUCUCUACUCUCCAAAAACGUCUACAUCAAAGAACGAAAGGAAGCUAAACACUACAAGAUAGAAUAAGAGGGAGACUCGGUUGGGUAGUAACGAGGAAGGUCAGGGCCUUACUGAGAUAAAACGUAAUAAUAAGAAUGUACAGUAUAAAAACAUAUAGAAUAAUAGAAAAAACAUCGAAGUAAAUCAGAAUAUACAAGUCAACAACAAAUAAACGAAGUAAGGAAUAAACACAAAAAUGCACAGCUCAAUACCAAAGAUACUAUGAGGAUCUCCCGGGAUACCAUCCUGUUGCGCUUUCUCACUGUCCAGUUAUACCGUCCUGUAGUCCAUCAUAUAUGUAUAACCGAAGGAUCUUCCGGGGUAUUGUCCUGUAGUCCAACUAUCAAUGUGAAUGGGGAUCUAUCGAGAAUCUAGCCUGUAGUCCCAAAGUAAAUGUGCAAGGAGAUCUAUUGAGAAUCGAACCCAUAGUCCCAAAGUAAACAAACAAGGGAGGAGCUACUAGAGUCCCACAUCUGUAGUCCCAAUAUAAAUACACACCAACAGCAAGAGAAUAAUCAGAAAUGGAGAUAAAUACCAAGGCAACAGGAUAUAUAGCCUAAUAUGCUUCACGUAAUGCAGCAAGGCAAAUUAAAGAAACUAAAGGAUGAGAUCCAUCGCAAUAAAGUCCACUUCUCGUCAAACUUCUCAAAAACCUUCAAAUUUCUAUCUUUAGCAAAAUGGCUUUAAAAUGACCUACAGACCUCCGAAUUCACUUUCGGUCGCGCUAUCAACUCCAGAAUAACCAUACAGAGCUACUCCGAGUCUUGGAAUUCCAUACAGACAUCCAUAACACUGAACUACACUUCAAGCCAAACUUAAGAAAUUUCUUCAAAAAUGCUAACUUCCACAAUGGGUGCCUAAACACUUCCGGGUUACCCAAAACCCGCACCGGACAUACACCCAAGUUCAAAAUCAUCAUACAAACCUGCUGGGACCUUCAAAUCCAGAUUCCGAGGUCAUUUACUCAAAACUCCAGUCCUAGUUCAUUAUUUCAACUUAAAGCUUCUGAAAUGGAAAUUUUAAUUUAAAUUUACUCCGAUCUCCCAAAAUUUCAAUUCCCACCAUGAGAACAAGUGAUAACACCUAAAAUGAAGCUGCUCAUGGCUUCAGACUGCUGAACGACAUGCUAGGGGAUAAAAUGACCUACCGGGUCGUUACACUUCAUGAAUAGUUAAGUUGAGAAAUGGCUAUGGUUUGUUGCAUGUUUUAUUUAGCAUCGGCAGUAUAUGAAAGUGUUGGAAUGAGACUUUUGUUGAUAAUAGGAUUUAUAUCGGUAUUCGGUGGUUGUGGCAGCAGUUGUGAAUAGAACUUAUCGCUUUGAGGGUUUGAGUUAGGUGGUAUACCAUGGGAUUUCUCCCAAUGUUGCAGGCACGGGUUAUUACCGCUGAUUCGGGCCUAUUCAGAGCAUACAUGUGAGAUUUAGAUCAUAUUGAUGGCUGUAUAAGUUGAAAUGUGGUUCGAAGGUUUAUGCGCUGGGAUGGAUUGUGAAAUUAAAUUAUGUUAUCAGACCUAUAUGACAUAGGGUGAUGUGGGAUCACCCUGUGUAUGUGCAUGAUAAGGUUAUUCAGCGAUUAGUUGGAUUUUAGAACAAAUCUUGGUACAUUCGAGGACGAACGUAUGUUUAAGUGGGAGAUGAUGUAACGACCCGACCGGUCGAUUAGUGUUUUUACACUUUGAUUUCCAGUUCUCGGGAAGGACUUCCCCCGUUUGGUUUAUUAUGAAUUAUGUAAAUUGAGGGGGUUGGGUUUCAGGUUAAUCAGAAUGAAUUUGGAAGAACAAUCUCAGUUGAAAGUUUUAAAUUUGAAUGGUUUGAUCCUAAUUUGACUUUAUUGUAAAUUAUCUCGGAUUGGAAUUUUUAUGAUUUGGUUAGCUCCAUUAGGUGAUUUGGGACUUAGGUGCGUGAUCGAAAUGCAUUAUGGAGGUCUGUGGAAGGUUUAGGCUUGAAUUGGCGCAAUUGAGAUUUCGACGUUUUCUAGUUGAUAGGUGGGAUUAUGAUCCGGGGAUCGGAAUGAAAUUACGUGAGUUAUUUUAUCUUUGUUUUGUCAUUUGGGAUGUGUGUGCAAAAUUUCAGGUCAUUCGGAUGUGGUUUGGUUGGAUUUUUUAUCAAAAGUGUAUUUCAGAAGUUUUUGAAAAACUUAGGCUCGAAUUCGAUGCGUUUUGCGUAAUUUAAUAUUGUUCGAGGUUUUUUGAUGAUUGUAAAAAGGUUGAAUAAAGUUUUAGGAUGUGUUGAUACUCUUGGUUGUGUUCCCGGGGGCCCCGGGGGCCUCGGGUGAGUUUAGGGUGGUCAUUCGGACCAUUUUUGGAGUUUGAAAGUUGAAGCAAUAGCAGGUUAAGUGUUGCAGAGAAUUAUUUCUUCGGGGUCGCGUGAGUGCCUCGCGUGAAUGAAAGAAGGCCAGAAUUUAGCCUUCGCAUUUGUGUGAGAGGCUUCACAUUCACGAAAGGUUGGGAAGUUGUGUGCCGUGUUCGCGAGAAGGCACUCGCAAUAGCGUAGAGGAAGUGAGACAUAUGAAGUCCAAGUUAAUUUGUGCAUCGCAUUCGCAUUCACGUAAGGUUAUUUCAUCUGGUCAUCGCAUUCACCAGUCAUUGGUAGCGCUUGUGUAGUGUAUUUUUGAGGUCUUGAAUUGCUCUUCGCGAUCAUGAUGCUUGUGCCACUGUCGCACUAAAGGAACGACAGAGCUAGGAAGAUGUUUUAAGUCAUUUCAUCCGCGAUUUUUGGGCUCAUUUCCUCCAUAGUUGAUCAUUUUUGAGAGCUUUUUGAAGGAAAUUAAAGAGGGGUUCAAGGAGAAAUUUUUGGAGGUAAAAUAUUCGGACCUAACUCAAUUCUAUUGUGAAAUCUACCUAGGAAUUCAUAAAAACUUGUUCUAAAAAUGGAAGAACUAGGGCUUGAGAUUUUAUAUCUUUGAUUGGGGAUUUGGAAGACCAUAUGGGGUUGGAUUUGAGAACUUCUGAUAUGCAUGAACUCGUGGGAGGAUAAGGAACCCGUUGAUAUAAAAAUUUAUGUUUUUUGAGCAGUGGGCCCGAGACUCGGGUUUUGGUAAUUUCGAUAAGUGUGCCUGAUAUCGAUUGUUUUCGCUUGGGCUUAGUUCCCAUAGCAUAUUGUGAUGUAUUCGUUCUGAUUUUGGAUAGGGUUCGAUGCGCGUGGAGGAAAAUUUGAGGGGCAAAGGCAUCGCUGUGAGCACGUGAUAUUUGCCCUAAGCAAAUAAUCCCCAAAGAUUCAAACAACACAACUUCUCUAUUAUAUUACAAUUUUUUUGAAUUUUGUGGCAUUAUCUGUUAUUUGUUUGCAUUUGAUUGGUGCAUUUUAAUUCAUUGAAAAAUAAAAAAAUACCUGGCACUUACAUUUAGGGUUUUAUUUCAACUUUUGGAUCUAUUAGUGAUUAGUCAAUAUUACAAAAGAAGAAAAAAACAAAAAUAGCCCACUUUCGUAUUUUAAUUUUUUUAAUUGUGAAUUUGUUACAAAAUAGUUUUAAAAUAAUAUUAGGAGUUAAUUAGUUUAGCUAUGAAUUAUAUUAGGAAGUAUAUUUUAAAUUUUGCACUUUUAUAAAAUCAGAAAAAUACAAAAUGGAAAAAAAACAAAAAGAAUUGAAAGAAAAGCAAUUAAAUAAAUGGUGAGUGUAGAAGGAAUGGAGGAAGGCCAAAAUUUAGCCUUCGCAUUCGUCUGAGAGGCUUCGCAUUCACGGAAGGUUGGGAAGUUGUGCAUCGUGUUCGCGAGAAGGCACUUGCAAUCGCGUUGAGGAAGUGAGUUAGAUGGGGUCCAAGGUAAUUUGUGCAUCGCAUUCGCAUUCACGUAAGGCUAUUUCAUCUGGUCAUCGCAUUCACAGGGCGUUGGUCAUGUUUGGGUAGUGUAUUUUUUAGGUCUUGAAUAUUUUCUCUUCGCGAUCAUGAGGCUUGUGCCACAAUCGCACUAAAGGAACGGGCAGAGCUAGGCAAAACGUUUUAAGUCAUUUCAUCCGCGAUUUUAGGGCUCAUUUCCCCCAUAGUUGAUCAUUUUUAGAGCUUUUUGAAGGAAAUUAAAGAGGGGUUCAAGGAGAAAUGUUUGGAGGUAUGAAAUUCGGACCUAAAACUCAAUUCUAUUGUGAAAUCUACCUAGGAAUUCAUAGAAACUUAAGCUAAAAUGGAAGAACUAGGUCUUGGGAUUUUAAAUCUUUGAUUGGGGAUUUGGAAGACCAUUUGGUUGGAUUUGAGAACUUAUGAUAUGUAUGAACUCGUGGGAGGAUAUGGAAGCCGUUGAUAUAAAAAUUUCUGAGUUUCGAGCAGUGGACCUCGGACUCGGGUUUUGGUAAUUUCGAUAAAUGUGCCUGAUAUUGAUUAUUUUCGCUUGGGCUUUAUUCCCUUCGUAUAUUGUGAUGUAUUCGUUCUUAUUUUGGAAAGGAUUCGAUGCGCGUGGAGGCAAAUUUGUGGAGCAAAGGCAUCGCUGUGGGCUUGUGAUUUUUUCCCUAAGCAAAUAAUUCCCAAAUAUUCAAACUAAACAAUUUCUUUAUUUUUGUGAAUUUUGUGGCAUUUUCUGUUAAUUGUUUGUAUUUGAUUUGUGCUUUUUAAUUCAUAGAAAUAUAAAAAAAUACUUGGCACUUGCAUUAACGGUUUUAUUUCACCUUUUAGAUCUAAUUAGUGAUUAGUCUAUUUUGCAAAAGAAGAAAAUAACAAAAAUAGCCCACUUUCGUAUUUUAAUUGUUUUAAUUGUGAAUUCGUCACAAAAUAGUUUUAAAACAAUAUUAGGAGUUAAUUAGUUUAGCUUUGAAUUAUAGUAGGAAGUAUAUUUCAUUUUUGCACUUUUAUAAAAUUAGACAAAUACAAAAUGAAAAAAAACAAAAAGAAAUAAAAGAAUUAAAAGAAAAACAAUUAAAUAAAUGUGUGAUGACCUAAACCAUAUGCCAUGACCAAACUCACCCGCCAGGCCCAAUCUAAUCUAGAACCAGGUCCAGCUCCCCCUAGAACUAAAACGACCCCAUUUUAGGCUACGAAUAAUCUUAACCAUUGAUAUUUCCGGAUCCAAUGGCCACAAAUGGCUCUUGGUAUUUUGAUUAAAUUGUCUGAAUAUGUGUUUAAACCUAGAGACAGUGUCAUCCUCCUCGUACCACUCUCUGCAUCUCCGCCGGAGCCGCCGCCGGCGCUGAACGCCACCACCUCCAAACAACCCCAAAAUUACACCACCAACUCUCCUUGUUCCCCUCUUUCCAUUCCUGCCAUUGGUUUCCCUUGAAUCUUGCCAGAGCUCGUCGAAUCAUCGUUAAAAGUAUUCUGGCCAAGUCGGAACCUUUUCCUAACCGGCCCAAAUUUGAACCACACAACCCCCAGACCUUCCUCACCCCUAAUCCCUAACGGAAUUUUCUCAAUCAUCAGUUAAAUGGCUCAAAUAUUAAAACUUAGGGUUUUGAUUACGGGACUGUUUUGGGUGAUUUGAAGGUUUAAUCGUCUUCAAGUUGAUAUCAUGUGUUUAUUUCAUACAAAAUAAAUAUAUAACAUUAACUCAAAGCCAAAGUUGAAGGUCAAUAGAGUUUGAAGUAAGUCAAUCUGUUUGUUCUUUUUGUUUUCUUUUUCCCUCUAUGUUCUCAUGAAUGUUUCUUGGUUUAAUUUGUGCUUCUGUGGCUAAUUGAUUUAUUCUAAAUGUUAGUUCAUGGUUUCUAUUUAUUUAGUCUGAUUGUUAAGAGUUGGUUAAUUCUGGGCUUUGUUAGUUUAGUUGGGGAUAAUUUUGAAUAUUUAGUUUAAACUGCUUUCGAUUCAAUUCUGGUAUAUAAUUGUUUAUAAUUUGCUCGUUUCUCAUUAAUAUGAUUUUUGUGCAAGUUUUGAUUGCUUAAUUCUUGUUAUUCAGUCUAAUUGUAUUCAUAGCAGGGAUAUUGUGUUAAGUUCUUUACCGAUAUUUGUUAUUAGCUUAGCUUUAAUUUUAAUUGAUUUUAGUUAAUUCAGUCUUUAGUUCUUGUUCUGUGGCUUUUCACUUUUUAUCGGAUUAGUUUGGCUUAAAUGUCAUUUAGUUUAAUUGAUAGUAGUAGGAGUUAGGUUUAAUUAGGUAUUAAUUGGAUUUAAUACCUCAUGUUUCAAGGUUUUAAAAGUAGUGUUAGUCAUGAAUGAAUAGUCUAGACUGUUAUUAAGUUAAUCCUAGUUAGUAAAAGGGGUUGGGGGCAACUAGUAUAUGAUCAGUAAUUUCAGGAAAUAAUCAAGGGUAGUUUAGGCAUUGAAAAGGGCAGUUUUAUGAAGCAUAAUAAAUUCAAAAUAAAGUUAAAGGUAGUAUAGGUAUUGUAUAUGUAAAAGAACACCCUAGGGUCUUUUGUGCAGAUUUAGGUAAACUUAGGGCAGUAACUUGACAAACAAGUAAAAAAUUGAAGGACUAAUAAGUGAAAUCUGAAAUUAAAAGAGGGAAAAAAUAUGUGAAAGCUUCCAGAACUUUCUGCCAUGUUAUGGAAUAUAAAAGGCAGCCCUAGUACUUUCAUUUACAGGGGGAGGAGACUCCCUGAAAAAAGUCCAAAAAUUUCAGCCAUAAAAACUCCCUCCAAAUAGCUCUUUCUUUUCUAAUUUUCAUAUCCAAGUUUAUAAAUUCAAAUAUUCAAAAUAAAAAAACUUAAAAAAUAGAAAAAAUCAAAAAAAAAUGUCCUACUGUUUCGUUGCUUAGUUAGAUUAUUUUCGAGUUUUUCCUUGAUUUUCUUCAAAUUCUGUUCAUAGUUCGAGUUUCAACAGCAUUCAAGAGAAUCUGGUAUUCUGCUCGAGUGAGUUUGGGUUAGUUUAAUUUUGUUGUAGUUGGAUACAAUUCCCAGGGAUUCUCAGUAGUUAUUUAAGUGCAAUUUUGAAGUUACUUGAGUGCAUCCCAAGUGGUCAUUGGAUUGAUUUGUUGGAUUCUAUCUCGCUGUUGAACAUUGCUAGUUUUCUAAAUCAUUUCUUGGGUUGCUCGUUGACUCUCUAUUGCUGGAAUUUCUAGUUGCUGGUCUUUAUCCAUUUUUUUUUCUAGGCUAUUCAUCUUAUCUCUUGGUCUGUUGAUAGCUAUCUACUGCUGCUGAUUUACCUCUCCUUUAUCUCAAUUUCAAAACUCAAGUACACAUCCUGAAUUUGAGCUUGAUGUAACUUCAAAGUUGAAAAUGCAAUAGAACACUUGUUCAGUUGCUCUUGGAAGUUAUCUUCGUUGGCUUGUGUUGUAUUAUUUGUUUCACUGUGAGAUAAGUGAUUACUUAAUGUAGUUCAACGUUUUAACGCAGCUCAAUUCAAAUUUGCAUGUUUCUAGACCAGACUGUAGAAUCAAAAUUAUUUUGGAUUGUAAAGAGACUGUCUAGUUACUGAACUUUAGUUAGUGAAUAGCCUCAAUAAUAUCAUUCUGUAAUUGGUUUAACAAAAGAUUAAGCGAUAGAAUUAAUUGUUUCCAGAUUUGCAUGUUGUAAUUAAAGCAUUUGAGUGGUGGACUGAUUCCCAUUUGUUUGCAGUUAGUCCUGAAAUGACUUGAGCCAUAACUGGAAAUCUGUGACUAAUAUAGUUGUUUAGUAUAGCCUCUUUAGUGUAACUCAAUUAGACUUUUCUACCCUUAUAAUGGAUGGUUUAUCAAUAGUUUUGUAAUUAAGCUUUAACAACAGUCUUAGAUUCGAAAAGUAGUCAUCUGUUCUAUAUUUUUACAAGUUAAAAAUAGAUAUCCAUGCAUGAAUACAUGGUAAUCGUAUGAAGCUAAGAACAAAUCAACUAUGAGGCCCUUGGUGAUAAUAUUCUCCGCCUGGGCCCAAUGCCCUUCUGUACAAGGUCCAUAUCUGGAUAAUAUACGUGGGCAAGGAAAAAUUGGUUGAGGGCCAGCUUUAUGGCACAAGAUAUGGGGCAUUUCAUUUAGGUUGUCUUAUUUGAGUCUAGUCCUUAUUGGAGUAUCAUAGUAAUGUACAUUGACUCGUUAAUUGAUUAGGCCCAUUAGAGAAAAAAAUAAUUAGCAAAUCCUAGUUACUUUAGAUAUGCCUUUCAAACUGAUGAGACGAGCCUCGCCAAACAAAAAUACUAAAUUGCGGGGCCCUCAAAUAAGUGAUAUAUUCGAUUAUUUGAUUUCGGGAUGGGCCAUUUAACAAAUUUCACGACCUUCCCCAAAAUAAUGAGGCGUUAGACUCUUUAGGCACGAUUUUAAUAAAUUCACCUUCCUAAAUUCGGGUGCGCAUUUAUGCGACCCAAAUCUAAAUCUCAACGAUGUUGAAAUGUGUUGACAACUACGGGUGCAUUGAUUGCGAGGUGGUUUGAGACAUAUUUUCACGGCGUUGCAAUUCUUUUAAAAUAAUAAUAAAAGCGAUUCACGAAUAAAUGACACAUAAGCUAACAUGUAUUCAAAUCAGACAAAAUCAAAUACAUUAGUUACGCGACCGUGCUAGAACCACGAAACCCGAGAAUGCCUAACACCUUCUCCCGGGUUAACUGAAUUCCUUAUCCGAAUUUCUGGUUCGCGGAUUGUAAUAUAGUCAUAUUUUUCCUAAGUUUGGAAUUCAACCGGUGACUUGGAACGCCAUCAAUCUCCCAAGUGGUGACUUUGAAUAUUAAUAAUAUAUCCCAUUCCGAUUGUCCUUUAUUAUCGAAAACCUCUUUCUGCCCGUACGGGUGUAGUGAAAAAGGAGGUGUGACAGCAUUGGCGAUUCUGAUGGGGACAAAAACCCAGAACGUUUUGCUCAGGGUUCAGAAUUUGAGCUUAGAUAAAUUGUUAUAUUUGGUUAUAUCUGAUUUUCCUACAUAUUUCAUGCUUAAUGUGCUGAAUGUUACCCCUUUGAUAUUAUCUGAACUGUAUAUAAACUGUGCCGAAACCCUUCUUUUCUUACCUCUGGGGAUGUGCUUACUGGUUAAGACUCCCUAUUCUGUUAGUGUAAUACCUUGAAAUAAAAAGAGGCUCGGACAAGUUAAAAGCCGGACGAUCUCGUGGAUCCCCGAUACGUUGCCCCUUCCUCGACUCGAGUUGUUCGCUCGGGUAAACUGUAUAGAAAACAUACCCAGCUUUUUUAACGUAGAAUAACGUGACUUGAUGCCAGAUCCCUAGUAGGAAUGCUCAUUUGCAUCAUGCUGCAUUUAACUUAAAAGACCAUCAUGAAGCAUCCUACUUGUUUUGUGCAUUUAUUUGUUUCAAACCUGCGUGUCGACCGGUUUCUUAAUCUCGUGAAUGUUGGAAAAUUGAGAAAAAGAGAAAAAUAGAGAAAUAACAGUUAGGGAGUUAAUUGAUUAUUUUAGAAAAAUAAGUGGCCAAGUACUGUCGAGAAAGUAUUUUAAUUGCUAAAUUGUUGAUUUUAGUCAAAAAAGCAAAAAUGUAUGAAAAAGGUUUUCUUUUUUAUUUUGUUUUGUUUUCAAAAAUGGUAAAGGGAAAAAAUAGUUUGUUUCGUUGAAAAUGAAAAAAAGAGUCUUAAUUUUUUCUUUUCUUGCUUUCAAAAAUUAGAGAGAGAAAAAGGAAAAAGAAUUUUGUCUUUAAAAUUAGUUAAUUUCAUUGCCCGAACUACGCAUGUUUGAUUAUCAUAGGGCAUGAAAUACGUAGGCAACCCUCACCGGGUCCUACUUCCCCUUUGCAAAAUUAGACAAAAAUAUCUAAAUUAUAAUUUUUGUUAUAAAUAAGUCGGGUGAUGGCGUUAUUGUCAAAAAUAGUCGAAUGUUCACAAAAGGUAUACUGGAAGGCUAACUUUGCAUAAACAGUCACAUUUGGUCAAGUUUUGAGUUUUGACCCUCACGACCUUAAAACCUUCGUCCCCGAGGCACUGAAAAGCCGUGUUUUGCAAUACCGGGUAAUUUAUUUUAAUUUAUAAAUUAAGGAAAGAGUCUUAAAUAAGUCAGGUAUUGCCGUCAUGACAAAAAUAUCUGAAUGUUCCCAAAAGCGACUCUGAAAGGCUGACUUUGCAAAAAUGGCCACUUUUGGUCAAUUUUGAUUUUCAACUUGUUGACUCUCAUAGCCUUAAAAUCUUCAUCUCUGGAAGUGCUGAAAGGCCGUGUUCGAAAACUGAGUCUUUCAUUUUAAAUUUUGAAAAGGGAAAUAGUUAAUUUUGUUUUGAGUCAAAUGAAAGUUUUAUUUUUGCUUAAAUCAGCUUAAUUAAUGUGCAGGAUGAGAACGAUGCAAAAUGAACAUUUCUCAAUAAUGACUAAAAUCAGUUAGGAGUUGCAGCUAUGGUGGAAUGAUUUAGGCAAAGAAGGGCAAGACAAAGUCAAGAAAUAUCAGAAAGGUCUUACAGGUUUAUUGGAAAUCAAGCCUCGAGGUGAUAUUAUAAGAGCGUUGGUCACCUGCUGGGACCCGGCGCACAAUGUCUUCCACUUCCCAGAUUUUGAGCUCACCCCGACUUUGGAGGAAAUAGCCUGGUACAUCGGAAAUGGUGAGUUUCCAUUAAGAGAAAAAUAUCAGGUUGGUCCAUGAGCCAUCACGGUGCAUCAGUUUUUAGAUUCAUUGAAGAUACCCAGGACAGUCCAUAAUCCAGAUUUAGCAAAAGGCUACUGCACUCUGCACUUCAUAUACGAUAGAUACGACCACGUGAGAGGGUUUAACAAGCCGGACAACAAGUUAUGCAGUAAAAAUAACCGUCAAAAAUGGGAUGAGCACAUAUGGAUGGAUUUUAUGAUAACCUUUUUGGGCCUUUUGGAGUUCCCGAUGAAUGAUGAGAAUAUUGAUAUAAAAGCAGCUGUGGUCGUCAGUACAUUGCUUACUCAAGAUGAAAGCACUCUUGCGCCAAUGAUCGUGUCUGACAUCUUCCGAACUCUCACUGCCUACAAAGCCGGAGGCAACUUUUUUGAGGGAUGUAACUUUUUGCUACAAAUGUGGACGACCGAGCAUCAAUGCCACCGUUCCCAGCUCUUGAGUUAUGGUACGCCUGACAAAACAUGUAUAGGAGAGUUUUACACAAGGAUUGACGGGGUCAAUUUUCAUGUAGGAGUAACUGUGUGUAUAUCAUACUUCCGAACUCUCAUAGUCAGUCAGAUACAGUGGACGUUGGGAUGGUUGCCUGUUGAAGAAAUCACAUACAUGCCAGCGGCUAGGUCGCAUUUUCUUUUGUUGGGACAUAAGAGCAUCCAGCCUUAUACUCUAUGUCGUGUUCUGAGACAACUCGGGAGAUUCCAAACAGUGUCACAGGAAGAAGAUCUUAGUGCUCAAGUAAUUGACAUUAGCCUUGAAAGACAAUUUCCCGAAGCAAAAGUCUGCCAGAUUUGGAAUGAAUAUCAAUAUCUACAAGCAGAUACUUGCAGGAUCGGGCCAAAGGAGAAAUGUCACCAGAAUACCUUGCAUGGUACAGGAGAGAACUUGAGUUUCAGAGGCCAGCUAAAAGACCCCACAUCUAGGAUUUUGCUGAAUCGUCAUAAGAACAAUGAGGUUGGCUAGCAAAAGAAAAAGGCUAUCAGGUUGAAAUCGGCAAGCUGAAACAACAUAUUGGAUCUUCUUAAAUUUGAGAAUAGUGUGCAAGUUGUUGGUGAUCAGGGACAAAAGAACAGGUUGGCCCAAGAAAAUGAGGCGCAUAGUGCCCAAAUCCAGCAAAUGAGGAUAGCCGCCAAUAACAAACAAAGGAGCUGGUUGGAUGAGCGAUUGAUAAAGGGGCUGAAAAAGGAAAUUAGUGAGCGCCGGAAUAAGCUGAAAAAAUCUAAGGGCACCAUAGCGGAACUUCGGCCACAGUGGGUAAAAAGAAUAGAAGAAUGCACCUGUUACUUGCAACAGCUGAAGAAGGAUUAUGAAAAGACCAUUGCUAGUCUGAAAAGAAAAGUGGUCACCCUUGAGGAUAAAUCAGCUAAGCAAGCUAAAGUUUUUGAGAGCGAAAGUGCACAGUACUAUGAUUUAUUGGCCCAAAUGGAAGUAGAAAUACAGCAGCAGCAGGAUCAGUAUCUUCAGAUUCGCAUGUGUUGGAGGCUUUCAAUCAUCAAAUAAGGCGGUUGCUUAUAGAAAACGGUCAAACAAGAGGCAGGAUUGAGACCAUUGCCCACACCAUCCUUAGGAGGUGUCGGGCAUGUGAAGACAUGACUCGCACUACCUUCUUCUCGGUAGUGAUGAUUUAUGUCAAGCGAACCAUGAAUGAGCCGGAGCAACUUGAAAGGGAUUUGGCACCUAAGCCCACGGCGAGGCUGAACGAUGCCCCGAGGUCACCCACUUUUGAAGCACCAAUGUAUUGAUAGAUCGAGUUUAAAUUUUCCAUUUUAGAGUCUUUUGUUUGUCUGUCUGUUUUCUUUUUGCGUCCAAGUAUGCUAGUAUGUUCAGAGUCUGUAUUUGAGUUUAGUGGGAGUCUGUUAUUUUCCCUUUUCAAAACGAUUAGUUUUUAAUAGAAUGUUGUAGUAAUGAAAAAUUGAAAACUCCCAAAAUAUUAUUCCUUUAUUUUUGCACUUAUUUUUACGAACUACGCCUGGUCUCAUUCGUGUGGGAUUAAGAUACACAGGUAAUCUCCAUAGGAUUCGACCGUAACCAAAUGAAAAAGAAAAAAAAAAGAAACAAAGAAGAAAAACAAGAGAGGAUGGGAAAAAAAGAGAAAAAGAAAGGAGCGGCAAAUCAAGAAAAGAAAAUAAAGAAAGAACAGAGAAAGAAAAAAGCGGAAAAACAUUAAAAGGAUAGAAUGAGAAAAGGAAAAGAAGAAAGAAAGAAAGAAAAGAAAAGAAAGGAGGGGAGAAAGUUUGUAGUUGGAAAUGCGAAAGGACCGGGAUGACGCAGGCGGUCGAGCAAAGGCAUAUUAGAAAUUGUUAACUGUAUAGGUGCAUUCAUGCCAAUGUGCAGUUAUCCAAUCUAUUAAAACCUUAUCGCUAACAAAGUGGUUGUCUAAUAUGAUGAGUUCAGGCAGGCGGUUAAUUGUUUGGAAUUCUGGCAACCCAUUACUACAACACCUGAUAAAAACACAUGCUGAAAAUGACUGGACAGGAAUCUGAUAUCAGUAUUGUGGACCCGUCAAAAGAGGUUGAGGUGACAGAUGUGACUGCUAUGAAAGAGGAGAUGCGUAAAAUGAAACAAAAAAUGGUUGAAAUGCAUCAAGCCUGGUCUUAGGGGAAUCCAGUACUAGUGUAUCCCGCCAAUCCAUCAUAUAUCCCGUCAUAGGUUCAAGUUUAGGAGCCUCCCACUGCCAAUUCAUCUCCAGCCUUCCCUUACUAUACACAGGGUUAUGGUACUACUUCCUACGCUCCUCAACCUCCACAACCUAAACAAAACCCUCCUCCACCCAUCACUCAUGCCUUUGUAGCACCUCUAUCUACCACACUGCAAAGAUCAUCCAAUGAGCCUUUGUUUCAAACCCACGAUGACCAAUACUAUCCCCUGAACCUACUUUCGAUGCCCCUGAGCCGUACUCUUACACCCCUCACUUUCAGCUCCCCGCACAGACUGAAAAGCCAUCUAAGAACCUAGAACAGGAAGAAGUGCUUCGAAAAAAGAAAAUCCUGGAUAUGCAUGGAUUGGGCAAUCAGGUCAGUGUGGCGUAUAAAGAUAUUUGUCUGUUCCCCGAUGUUCAGCUACCUGUGGGAUUCCAAAUGUAUGAUGGUCACGGUGACCUAGUGGCACAUUUGUGAGGUUUCUGUACUAAGAUGAGAGGGGACGGGGGAAAAGACGAACGACUGAUGCAUAAUUUGGGUAGAGUUUAAGUGGGUCUGCACUAGAAUGUUAUACGCGCCAAGAUCCUAGCAGAUGGUAUACUUGGGAUUACCUAGCACAAGCAUUUGCCAGUUACUUCCAAUAAAAUCUUGAGAUCAUCCCAGACUGGCUGUCAUUCAUAAAACUCGAGAAGAAACCCGAGAAAUGCUUCAGGGAAUACGGUUCUGUUGGAGAGAGAAAGGUGUAAGGGUUGACCCCCCAAUGAGGGAAAGUGAAAUUGUUGAUCACUUUUUGCAGGCUUUGGAGCCAACAUAUUUUGGUCACAUGGUGACGUAAAUCGGUAAAUAUUUAAACGCGAUGGUGAAGUUGGGAGCCAUGGUCGAGGAAGGUUUGAAUUCCAUUAAAAUCAUGAGCUAUUCAGCGAUUAAAGCAACCACUCAGACCAUCCAAAGCGGAACUGGUUGUGUGCUUGGAAAGAAGAAGAAGGAAAAAGUCGCAACAGUUGAAGCUAGUACUUGUUCCAGGUCUAGCAACCCUCCACCCUACUACAACCAACCGAGAUACCACCACCCAAAUUACCCAUACACCCCAUAUGGACCUCCAAAUAAUUACUAUCCACCCCAGAGCCACAUUUUUCUGACCAUCACGCCAAGACACAUACCCAGCCUCUGGCGCACCCGCAGUGGCAUGCACUGGUUCCCCAAAACGCAUAUCCACCUCCACAAAACACAUAUCUACCCCCAGGGCUUAUAGAGCAGGAGCUGGCUUUUGCCCAAACCAGGGUUUUGGAAAUGAGAAGGUCUAGAAAUAGAAAACAUUUACUCUGCUGAGAGAAUCUAACACCACUCUUUUCCGUGGCUUGAAACAGCUAGGAAUGUUGACCCCAAUUGAGCCAAAAAUGACAAACCCCCCUCCUAGAAACCUUGACCAUUCAAUCAGCUAUGAGUUUUGUUCACUUAUGCCAGGGCACGAUACUGAGAAAUGCUGGAAGUUGAAAACUGAGGUGGAGGAGCUUAUUAAUAAUCACCAUAUUGAAGUUUACUCCCCGAAGACGCCAAACAUUAAUCAAAACCCACGGUCAAUGCAUCACGAGACCAACAUGAUCGAAUUACUGCACAAGGGAGGGGAGCUGAAGAAACCCUCACAAACGAUCAUGAUGAUCCGUUCUAGUAAAGCCAAGGUAAACGAAAAGGCAACUAAUGUGAAACCAGCAGUUCAGUCAAAAAGGAAGGGAUGACAAGCCAGUUGUGCUAGUUCGGAAAUGGCCAUCUAUUGUGGCAAAGAAACAAGAGCCAGUCAAGUUAGUGGUACAACAGGUAUCAAGUGUGCCCGUGGUAGUAAUGAAGGGGGCCUACAUAGAACCAAUUGUCGCGAAGCCGGUAGUACAGUUACCCGUGAUUGAUAGCAAAGUCGUGCCAUGGAAGUAUGAACAAGUAGUUUUGACAUACAAAGGAAAGGAAAUCGAAGAAGAUGUUUGUGAAGCACAAGUGUUAACUCGCUCGGGUAGAUGUUUUGCCUCGAAGAGUUGCGAAAAGACAUGGUUGCUAAAGACAGUCCAGUACUAGUCAAGAAGGCUAUGACAGAGGAAGAGACGGAGGAGUUCUUGAAAAAGAUGAAAGUACAAGGCUACUCCAUUGUUGAGCAAUUGACGAAAACGACAUCCCAAACCUCGUUGCUUUCACUACUUAUACAUUCAGAUGAACCACGCCGGGCUUUGAUGAAGAUAUUAAAUAAAGCUCAUGUCCCCGAUAAAAUUUCAGUGAAUCAUUUUGAGAAAAUUGCGAACAAAAUCUUUGAAGUGAACAGGGUGACAUUUUCUGAAGAUGAAUUGCCCGUGGAGAGCACAAAACAUAAUAGAGCUCUAUACUCGAUAAUAAGGUGCAAAGAGUCGUUAGUCACUCGGAUGUUUAUUAAUAAUGGAUUCAGUGCCCUUUGUCCACAUUGAACAAGCUAAAGAUUGAUGAUGAAAGAGUUCAUAAGAAUAGUGUCUGUAUUCGAGGGUUUGACGGUGGUGGUACGGACACAGUAGGGGAUGUCAUACUUGAAUUGACAAUUGGUACGGGCGAGUUCACCAUGGAAUUUCAAGUAGUAGAUACGGCAGUGUCCUAUAACCUGCUGUUGGGGCGACCAUGGAUCCACGCUACCAAAGCGGUGCCUUCAACACUGCAUCAAAUAGUCAAGUUCGAGUGGGAUAGACAAGAGGUCGUGGUACAUGGGGAAGACAACACAUGCGCUGUAAGUGAUGCCAUCAUGCCCUUCAUAGAGAUUUAUGAUGGUAAGGGGUCAUGGGUUUAUCAAGCCUUCGAUACAGUCCCGGCAGACAAGGUGCCGGAGGGUAAAAGUAUCACACUCCCCAGAAUAGCAGAUGCAACAGUCAUAGUAGUUUCGGAGAUUCUGAGUAAUGGGUUCUUGCCAGGAAAACGUUUGGGGACUAAUCUCCAGGGUAUUGUUCAACCUAUUUCUUUGCCAAAGAAUCUUUACACCUUUGGGCUAGGGUUCAAGCCAACGGCGGUGGGUGUGAGACAGGCCUGCAAGAAGAAUAAAAGUGUAUGAGUUCUUCACAAACCAAUUCCACACUUGUCUAGGUCCUUCGUCAGGCCAAGUAUCGGGAAGCAACUACUGGAAAAGGUAUCUGGUCCAUUAAUUGGUGCAUAUGGGAACUUGGAAACGAGGUUUGAGAAGAUAUUUGCUGAAGUAAACAUGAUUGAGGCCGGGGAAGGGUCGAGCAAAGCAGAUAUACAGCACAUCGGACCACGUGCUAAUGUCAGCAAUUGGGAAACUACUCCUCUUCCAACUCAGAGGGAGUCGUGGUAGUGGGUUUUAUUUUCCUUUUGUUCACCUGGAUUAUUCCAGGGUAUGUAAUUCAGUUGCUAUGUUCUGUCCGUUUGGAUGAGUUAAAACCCUGUUAUCUUUACAUUCAAUGAAAUGCAAUUUUUCUUCUUUCUUCAUUCCUAAUUUUUUUUCUUUUUUUUCUUUUAUGUACACUUCUUUUUAUGUUGAUAUCAAUGACAUGACAUGCAUGAGGAAUCUUCGGCCCACUUUUAAAUGCCAAUCUAACUAAGAAAUAAUAUUACAAGAAAUCGAGUGUGAUGAUGAGGUGGAAUGUGAUGAUGACGAGGCCUAUGAGGAAAUUAGUAAAGAAUUAAGUCAUUUUGAAGAAAAACCCAAACCUAACCUAAAUGACACAAAAGCAGUUAAUCUAGGGGACCAAGGCAACGUUCGUGAAACUAAAAUAAGUGUUCAUCUGGAGCCACAACUCAAGGAGGAGAUAAUCAAAGCAUUGUUCAAGUACAAGGAUAUUUAUGCAUUGAAGAAAAACCCAAACCUUACCUAAAUGACACAGUAGCAGUUAAUCUAGGGGACCAAGACAAUGUUUGUGAAACUACAAUAAGUAUUCAUCUGAAGCCACAACUCAAGGAGGAGAUAAUCAAAGCGUUGUUCGAGAACAAGGAUAUUUUUACAUAGUCGUAUGAUGAUAUGCCGGGUCAAAGUACCGAUUUAAUGGUUCAUAAAUUUCCCACUGAUCUGGCAUUCCCUCCUGUCAAGUAGAAGCUGAGAAAGUUCAAAACGGACAUAAGUGUAAAGAUCAAAGAAGAGGUUACCAAGUACUUUAAGGCAAAGGUCAUUCGGGUUACACGGUAUCCCACCUGGUUAGCUAAUGUUGUGCUUGUGCUGAAGAAUGAUGGCAAGACCAGGGUGUGUGUUGAUUAUCGGGAUCUUAACAAGGCAAGUCCAAAAGAUAAUUUUCCACUGUCGCACAUCCAUAUAUUGAUUGAUAAUUGUGCCAAACAUGAGAUUGGAUCUUUUGUGGAUUGUAACGUGGGUUAUCAUCAGAUUUUAAUGGACGAGGAAGAUGGAGAAAAUACGGCAUUCGUCACGCCAUAGGGAACGUACUAUUAUUGGGUCAUGCCGUUUGGUUUGAAAAAUGCUGGGGAAACUUAUAUGAGGGCAAUGGCAACAAUAUUCCAUGAUAUGAUACACAAGAAAAUCGAGGUGUACGUGGAUGAUGUGAUCGUGAUGUCUAGACAACAGUCUGACCACGUGAGGGAUUUGAGGAACUUAUUUCAAAGGCUUCACAGGUACAAUCGUAAGCUCAAUCCUGCAAAAUGUGCUUUCGGGGUGCCAUCUGGGAAGUUGUUGGGAUUUAUAGUUAGCCUUCAGGGUAUUGAACUAGACCCGUCGAAGAUCAAAGCAAUUCAGGAAUUGCUGCUUCCAACAAACAAAACUGAGGUGAUGAGUUUGUUAGGAAGAUUGAAUUAUAUCAGUAGGUUCAUUGCCCAGCUCACAACAACUUAUGAGCCGAUCUUCAAAUUAUUAAAGAAAGAUGUUGAAGUCAAAUGGACGGAUGAAUGUCAGCAAGCUUUUGACAAGCUAAAGGGGUAUUUGUCGAACCCACACGUGUUGGUCCCGCCAGAAUCGGGGAGGCCUUUGGUUCUAUAUCUAACAAUUUUUGAUAAUUCGUUUGGAUGCGUACUGGGGCACCAUGAUGUUACUGGUAGAAGGAGCAGGCGAUCUAUUAUCUCAGCAAGAGGUUCACAUCUAACGAGGUCAAUUAUACUCGUCUGGAGAGGACGUGUUACGCCCAAACCUGGGUGGCACGAAGUUGAAACAUUAUUUGUUGCCCUACACUACUUACCUCACAGCUCGCUUGGAUCCGUUAAUGUAUAUUUUUUAGAAGCCUAUGCUCACAGGAAGGCUUGCAAAGUGGCAGAUCUUGCAUAUAGAGUUCGACAUUAUCUGUGUGACUCAGACUCCGAUGAAAGCACAUGCAUUUGCUGAUCAUUUGGCUUAGAAUCCAGUCGAUGAAGAUUAUGAACCUUUGAAAACUUAUUUCCCAAAUGAAGAGGUGAUGCACAUUGAUGAGAUGGAACAAGUUGAGAAACCAGGAUGGAAGCUCUUCAUUGAUGGGGCUGCAAAUAUGAAAGCCGUGGGAAUAGGAGUGGUACUUAUUUCUGAAACAGGUCAGCACUACCUUGUUGCGGCUCAACUUUGUUUCUAUUGUACAAAAAACAUGACGGAUUAUGAGGUGUGUAUCUUGGGACUGAGAUUAGCUGUAGAUAUGGGUGUCCAGAGUCUUGGUCAUGGGUGACUCGGACCUACUGGUACACCAAAUUCAAGGGGAAUGGGAAACACGGGUUUAAAGCUUAUACAAUACCGGGAAUGUUUGCAUGAGCUUUGUCAACAGUUCCAAUCUAUAGAGUUCAGGCACAUUCCAAGUAUUCAUAAUGAGGUUGCCGAUGCUUUGACUACUUUGGUGUCAAUGUUACAUUAUCCGGAUAAGGAGCAUGUGGACCCGUUGCAUAUUCAGGUCCAUGAUCAGCAUACUUAUCGUAACAUGGUAGAAGAGGAGCUUGACGACGAGCCGUGGUUUCAUGAUAUCAUGGAAUAUAUCAGAAUUGGGGUAUACCUAGUAUAGGCCACCGGUGAUCAGAAAAGAACGAUUCGAUGAUGGUCAAGUGGGUUUUUCCUUAGGGGAGGAGUGUUAUAUAAAAGAACCCCAGAUCUCGGACUGUUGAGGUGUAUGGAUGCGAGAAAGGCCACAUCUACCAUGACUGAGGUACAUUCUGGAGUUUGCGGACCGCAUAUGAGCGGAUAUGUUUUGGAAAAGAAGAUCCAAGGGUAGGUUAGUAUUUGCUUACCAUGGAGUGAGAUUGUAUCAAUUUCAUACGUAAAUGUCAUUAGUGCCAAGUUCAUAGAGAUUUGGUUCAUUCUUCGCCAUCAGAAAUACAUACGAUGUCCACACCAUGGUCUUUUGUUGCAUAGGGCAUGGAUUUUAUUGGGCCAAUUGAACCAACACCGUCAAACAGGCACAGGUUCAUUUUGGUAGCAAUAGACUACAUUACCAAGUGGGUAGAGGCUAAAACGUUCAAAUCUGUAACCAAGAAAGUUGUGGUGGAUUUUGUGCCUUCGAACAUUAUCUGUCGGUUUGGGAUGCCAAAAGUGAUCAUUACAGACAAUGGGGCAAACCUCAAUAGUCAUUUGAUGAAGGAAGCAUGUGAGCAGUUCAAGAUUACCCAUCAUCACUCUACUCCAUACCUCCCUAAGGCUAAUGGUGCUAUUGAAGCAGCUAACAAGAAUAUAACGAAAAUAUUGCGGAAGAUGGUGGAAUGUUCGAGACACUGGCAUGAAAAGUUUCCUUUUGCAUUGUUGGGAUACUGCACCACUGUUCGUACUUCAGUGGGGGUUACUCCAUAUUUAUUGGUGUAUGGCACCGAGGUCGUAAUACCUGUAGAGGUGGAAAUCUCGUCUCUUCGAAUCAUUGCGGAGGCUGAGAUCGAUGAUGAUGAAUGGGUGAAAAGCACCCUUUAACAGUUGAGUUUUAUUGACGAGAAAAGAUUGGCAUCAGUGUGUCAUGGUCAGUUGUACCAGCAAAGAAUGGUAAGAGCGUACAACAAGAAAGUGCGUCCGAGGAAGAUUGAAGUCGGACAGUUAGUACAGAGACAUAUUUUGCCUCAUUGGGCUGAAGCAAAAGGAAGUUCGUUCCAAAUUGGCAGGGACCAUUUGUCGUAACACGAGUGUUGUCUAAUGGUGCAUUAUAUCUGACAGACGUAGAAGGGAUCAAUUCCGAUACGGUCAAGAGAUACUAUGUAUGAUUUCUUUAUUUCUGAAUGUACUUGUUUGUACUUGGCAUAUUUUAAAGAUUAAAAUGACGAAGGUGUUUUGUUCUGCUAUCCAAAUACUUUUAUCCCUUGUCAUCUCCUUUGAGCCUUACUUAUUUUCUUUCAUACCCCGCUUUCGUAAUCAAUGGCACAAUUAAGAAACGAAAGUGCCGCAGCUAAGCAAAUGGAAAAGAAGAAAAGAAAACGAAAAGAAAAAAAGAAAAGGAAAAUAAAGGUAAAGGAAAGAAAAGAAAAAUGAAAAGAUAGAAAAGAAAAAAAGAAAGCAAAAUAAAAGAAGAAUCACAACAAAAGUAAUUCUAUGACGUGAACUACGUUUAAUUUGAUCCCGAAAGGGUACGUAGGCAGCCUCUUUGAGGUUCAGUCAUACCAAAAUAAAAAUUCAAAAAUCCCCAAGCAAGAAACUGGGGUAGCACUUGUGGUUGUUGUAAGGAAGUGGAUUCAGUAAGUUGUAAUUUAAACCCAUUUGAAUUAUUUCUGAGCCUUUUAUACCCUUCUUUCCUAACUCAUCCAAAGCCUACAUUACAGUCCAAAAAAAGACUUUCUGAUCAGUUUUUGAGAAAUGCCAAGUUGAGCAAGUAGAAGUAAUUCAUGACAGGGGCAACACUCUGGUUCAAGCAAGAAGAACAAAGUAAAAAAUGAGAGAGUCUUAUUGGUGAAAACCUUCACAAGCACCAUAAGGCGACGGGAGAUCAGAGAAAAUAAAAUGAGAGAGUCUUAUUGGUGAAAACCCUCACGGGCACCUUGAGGCAAAAGUGAGUUGAGAAAUGGCUAAUUGAGAAAUGUCUAUUGGUGGAAAACUAUUUCGAGGCACCGCAGGAUGAGCAAGGGUAAGGUUUUGCAAAGUAAUCAAGUGAUGGAAAUUCAGGGGCAACAAAGUACGGCAAUUGAAAACUGGUUAGUUGGACAGAUUGGGCCGAUUAGUUCGAAAUGCAUGUCAUGACCAUUGGUGACAACUGUUCCGGCCAAAUAAGUUUUUUUUUAAUUUUUCCUUUUAGCAGUCAUUUGGUUUUGGAUUAUUCUUAUCCUUAACUUCCAAAAUCAUUGCAUUUCAUUUUCUUUUGGGGGUUUUAUUUGUCUAAGAUGUUUCAAUGUCAAUUUUGUUCAAUGCAAGGGGAAAGUAUUUCUAAGCUCACUGCCAACUUCCUAAUAUGGUAAAGCAUAAUGUGGUCAGAGCAUGUCAACAACAACACGAUGAAAAGUGGAGUAUGGGAAGUCGCCGGAAGUUUCAUCAGUGGAAUAAUUUGGAAAUAUUGUGGGAAAUGUAAAGUUUCAGACAAAAAGGGUCAGAAAAGUGAAACAACAGCAUGGGUACAAAACAUUCAGGUUGUCAAAGGUUGGGGAAUUGGAAAGUCAGUCAGAAAGUCAAGAGGUUCAGGGUCAGUUCGAGGAAGCCAGUCAACAUAAACCAAGGCAGUGGAAGGAUUUUUCAGCAAGAAUGCCAUCAAUUAACCACCAUUUCAAAUUAACAAAAUUUUCUUUGAUUGAAACAGGGGCAGAAAAUUAAUUAUUUAGGAUGAAUUCUCCAUAAGGGAAAGGCAAGCAGUAAUAAGGUGGACCGCAAGUGCGGUAUGGUUAAAAUACAAGAUAAUGAGGAAUAACAUAGGGAAAUGUAAGUUAGUUUCAAAGUUUGCAUGUCUAGGACAAAAUUCAAGUUUUGAAAUUGGGAGCCUGCCCAUAUAACAGAGGAAUACAUUUCAAUCUUUAAAUUUUAAAUUUACAUUUCAGUAUUUAAAUUUUCAAGUUUUGAAGUUGGGAGCCCGCCCAUAUAACAGAGGAAUACAUUCCAGUCAGAUAAAAUUCAAGUUUUGAAGUUGGGAGCCCGCCCAUAUAACAGAGGAAUACAUUUUAGUCUUUAAUUUUGAAGUUAUAUUUCCGCCUUUAAAUUUUCAAGUUUUGAAGUUGCGAGCCCGCCCAUGUAACAGAGGAAUACAUUUCAAUCUUUAGAUUUUAAGUUUUGAAGUUGGGAGGCCGCCCAGAUAACCAAAGAAUAUCAUUUCGGUCUUUAAAUUUGAAAUUUUGAAACAUUUCAGUCUUUAAGUCUUAAGUUAUAAAGUUGGGAGCCUACCCAUAUAACAGACGAAUACAUUUCAGCCGUUAAGUUUUGAAGUUACAAUUCAGUCCUUAAAUUUUCAAGUUUUGAAGUUGGGAGCUCGCUCAUAUAACAGAGGAAUACAUUUCAGUCUUUAAAUUUUCAGUUUUGAAGUUACAUUUCAGUCUUCAUAUUUUAAGUUUAGAAGUUGGGAGCCCGCCCAUAUAACAGAGGAAUAUGUUUCAGUUUUUAAAUUUUGAGUUCUGAAGUUAUAUUUCAGUCUUACAUUUAUGUUUUGAAGUAGGGAGCCCGCCCAUAUAACAGGGGAAUACAUUCAAGUUCAAGUUCAGAGGUCAGGUAUCAGAAUUCAAGUUUUAGUUUUCAAUUCUUAUUAUGUAUGGUAACAAGCACCCAUUUUUCAAAACUGGGCAGAAAGUUUUCUUUGCUGUGUCUAUUUUGUGAAGUCAGGAGCCCGCCUGGAGAACAGAGGAAUGUAGUUCAAGUUGUGAAGGCGGGAGCCCGCCCACAUAGCAGAGGAAUACAUUGAAGUUCAAGUUUAUUCAAGUUCAGCAAUUUGAAGAGAAGAAAUAAAAUCUCAAUUAGCAAUUUGAAGUAACAACAAUGGAUUUCACCAGGGAACGUAAGACAACAAUGAAAUACAAGAACAAGUUUGAAGAAUUUAGAUAGGACCUUUGUAAUUCAUAGUUCAUAGCUUAGUCUAUCUUCUUUUAUUUUUGACACGGUGUAAUAAGAGAGGUCAGCAAGCAGUAGCAGUAGCAAUCGCAGUGAAAACAUAGCUCCUGGUAGUUCUAGGUACCAGACACUCCCGAGCUACACUGACUUGAUUCCUCUUUAGCCCAGGAUAUGUAGGCAACCUCUGAAGUAAGGUUCGGUCGUCUCUUUCAAAAAAUGCUUCACACGAAAUAUGCGAACGAGCAAAAAUUUCUCGUUUCCGCUCACUUAUCUUCGCACGAAACUCUUUGCGUUUCCGGGUGUCAAACCUCCUUUUUACCCGUUCCCGCGGGUGCGAAAGGGGGUUUUGGAAUUUAUCCAAUUAAAGGACAAUUGAAACGGGAUUUAUUAUUAAGAUUUAGAGUUGCCACUUGAGAGAUUUAUGGUGUCCCAAGUCACCGGUUGAAUCCCGAAUCGAGGAAGAAUAUUGACUCUGUAUUACAGUCCGCGAAUCAGAAAUCCGGAUAAGGAAUUCAGUUAACCCGGGAGAAGGUGUUAUGUAUUCCCGAGUUCCAUGGUUCUAGCACGGUCGCGCAACUGUUAUAUUUGGCUUAUUUUUCUGAUUUGUAAAACAUGAUGUACAUUUAUUUAAACAAAAUUUAAAGUCAAAAGCGAAAGUUAAAGCUAAAAUUUAAAGGAAAAGGAAAAGCAAAAGUUAAAGCAAAAGUUAACACAAAACACAAAAGUUAAAGCUAAAGUUAAAGCAAAAGUUAAAAUUAAAGUAAAUGUUAAAGCAAAAAUGGUGAGUUCCGUGGUUCUAGCACGGUCGCUCAACUGUUGUAUUCGGAUUAAAUUAUCUGAUUUUAACACCUAUGAAAUUAUACGCAUUUAACUUUUUUACCGUUUUUAUUAUUAUUAUUAUUGUUAUUUUAAAAGAAUUGCAACGUCGUGGAAAUGCAUUUCGAACCACGUUACAAUCAUUGUGCCCGUGAUUAUCAACACAUUUCGUCUUCGUUGAGAUUUGGAUUUGGGUCACAUAAAUAUGCACCCGAGUUUAGAGAGAUAACAUUAUUAAAUACACACCUAAAGAUUCUAACGUGUUAUUAUUUUGAGAAUGCCUUGAAACUCGCUAAACGACAUGGCCCGCAGUCUAGAUAUUUUUAAUAUAUACAUUUUUGAGCGCCCCGCAACUUGUUUAUUUUAUUCUGCGAGGCUCGUCUCAUUUUUAUUAAAGGCAAACCUAAAAGCAACUAUGGUUAUUUACUUUAUUUGUCUCUAAAAACUAAAAAUCCUAAUUUAUUCGGUAAGAUUAUCCAAAGUCAUUAUAAUCGAGUUACAUGAAAUGCAAUCCGAAUUUUAAUAAUUACAAAUAACAACUACGUCACGGGAACCAUGAUUCCCGUACCCAUGGUAAUUAUUAUAACGUGCCAGAAAACACACUACGAUGUUUUAUGAGCUGCCUAUUUUUAGCUUGGAAUUAUUGAAAGUCCAAAACUACAGAUAUUCAUUUGCUGGACAAAGUGUGCAUGAAUUUCAACAAAAUUAUAAAAGCAUUCCAGUAAGCUAACAAUUAAUAGACCAAUUACCGCCAGUGAGAGUAUCAUAUUUCAUGGCUUUAUGUAGUUAAGAUUUCCUUUUGCUUUCAAGAUCCAACAAUUCAACCAAACAUUCAUAACACGUUCAAGAUUUUUCAACUAAUAUAAAACAAUUAAAUGAUGCAUCAAAAUCAAACAAACAUAACAUUCAACUAACCAAUAGUGAAGAAAAAAUAAGAAUGAACCUCAACUUGAAGCAAGGAUGCAAUGAUUAGCCAUGACUCGAACAACCCCGACAGAAGACCUUGAAUCUGCCCGGAACCGAAAAAGAGAGGUUCCCCAUAUGGGUAUGGUCUUUGGCGGCUGAAGAGUCUCCUUUAGACUAGGUUUUAUUUUUC
rnacentral:lncRNA from 1 species